GACGAACGCUGGCGGCGUGCUUAACACAUGCAAGUCGAGCGGAGCGGCGAACGGGUGAGUAACGCGUGAGUAACUGCCCCCCUCUCUGGGAUAACAGUUGGAAACGGCUGCUAAUACCGGAUAGUGGGGGAUGACUCGCGUCCUAUCUGCUUGUGGGUGGGGUAGUGUCCUACCAAGGCGACGACGGGUAGCCGGCCUGAGAGGGCGACCAGCCUCAUUGGGCUGAGAUAGGGACCAAAGGCCGACGGGAGGCAGUAGGGGGGAAGAUUGCGCAGUGGGGGAAAGCGUGAUGCGGCAGCGCCGCGGUCGGGAUGUCGGCGUUCGGGUUGUGAACCGCUUUCAGCCAUGAAGCGGUAGUGGCAGAAGAAGCACCGGCUAACUACGUGCCAGCAGCCGCGGUAAUAC
rnacentral:rRNA from 1 species